AAACUAGGAUUAGAUACCCUUGUACUAAAUUAAAAAGGUAGUAAAAGAUAAUCUUAAAACCUAAUUUAUCAUUGGCGGUCCUAUAUGUCUUUGGAGGGGCUUGUUUUUUAAUUGAUAAUCCUCAUUUAAUUUUACCAUUUUUCUCAUUUUAUAUACCUCCGUAUAAAUUUAAUUAAAAAUUUAUUUUAAAAAUAAAUAAUUCAAAAUUCAGGUCAAGGUGUAAAUAAUAAGAUGGAAAAAAUUAGCCACAUAAAUAAAAAAAGAUGUAAAACUUUUUAAAUAUGGAUUCAAUUGUAAGUUUACAAUAAAAUUUUAAACUGAUGAACCAAUUCAGGAUGCACAUAUCGCCCGUCACUCUAAAAAUUUAGAUAAGUCGUAACAUAGUA
rnacentral:rRNA from 1 species